UAAGGAAUAUUGGUCAAUGGACGCAAGUCUGAACCAGCCAUGCCGCGUGAAGGAUGAAGGUCCUCUGGAUUGUAAACUUCUUUUAUCUGGGACGAAAACGGGAUGUUUAUCUCAAUUGACGGUACCAGAGGAAUAAGCACCGGCUAACUCCGUGCCAGCAGCCGCGGUAAUACGGAGGGUGCAAGCGUUAUCCGGAUUCACUGGGUUUAAAGGGUGCGUAGGUGGGCAGAUAAGUCAGUGGUGAAAUCUUCCGGCUUAACCGGGAAACUGCCGUUGAUACUAUUUGUCUUGAAUAUUGCGGAGGUAAGCGGAAUAUGUCAUGUAGCGGUGAAAUGCUUAGAUAUGACAUAGAACACCAAUUGCGAAGGCAGCUUACUACAUAUAAAUUGACGCUGAGGCACGAAAGCGUGGGGAUCAACCA
rnacentral:rRNA from 1 species